GAUGAACGCUGGCGGCGUGCCUAAUCCAUGCAAGUCGAACGGAGUAUCAGCAAUGGUGCUUAGUGGCGAACGGGUGAGUAACGCGUUGGUGACCUGCCCCGAAGCGGGGGAUAACAGAUCGAAAGGUCUGCUAAUACCGCGUAAUCUGUGAGUAGUUAGAGAGCUUACAGGAAAGCCGAAAGGCGCUUUGGGAGGGGCCUGCGUCCCAUCAGCUAGUUGGUAAGGUAACGGCUUACCAAGGCGAUGACGGGUAGGGGACCUGAGAGGGUGGCCCCCCACCAAUAGGACGUAGAACAACGGUCCGACUACACCUACCGGGAGGGCUG
rnacentral:rRNA from 1 species